AUGGCACCAGGCGGGCGCGGGCGGCGGAAGGCUGGGGGCUUGGAGCCUUGGAGGGCGGCGGAUCCAGCGGCGCAGCAAGCGACGGCAGCAGCAAGCGGCGGCUUCGGCGGCGGCUUCAGCAGCAGCUCCGGCGGCGACUCCAGCGGCGCGGCGGCUUCAACGGCGGCUUCAGCAGCAGCUCAGGCGGCGACUCCAGCGGCGCGGCGGCUUCAACGGCGGCUCCAGCAGGCGACGGCCACGGUCGGGGUUUGGGAUUCAGUUUUGUCUAGAUUGCUAGAAGAUGGAAGGAAAGGGAAAGGGACUAGUAAAUCCAAAGAAAAGAGGAAGAGAUUUGAAAAGGUUUUAGGUUGUUUUCCUAUUGAGGCAUGUCUAUAUUUCCAUUGUAUUUGGUUAUUCGUUCGUAGUGUGUAUUAA
rnacentral:rRNA from 1 species